UUUCCUCCCUACCCACCCCCCCCGUUAGAGUUUUAUUUCUGGCUCAGGACGAACGCUGGCGGCGUGCCUAAUACAUGCAAGUCGAGCGGACAGAUGGGAGCUUGCUCCCUGAUGUUAGCGGCGGACGGGUGAGUAACACGUGGGUAACCUGCCUGUAAGACUGGGAUAACUCCGGGAAACCGGGGCUAAUACCGGAUGGUUGUUUGAACCGCAUGGUUCAAACAUAAAAGGUGGCUUCGGCUACCACUUACAGAUGGACCCGCGGCGCAUUAGCUAGUUGGUGAGGUAACGGCUCACCAAGGCAACGAUGCGUAGCCGACCUGAGAGGGUGAUCGGCCACACUGGGACUGAGACACGGCCCAGACUCCUACGGGAGGCAGCAGUAGGGAAUCUUCCGCAAUGGACGAAAGUCUGACGGAGCAACGCCGCGUGAGUGAUGAAGGUUUUCGGAUCGUAAAGCUCUGUUGUUAGGGAAGAACAAGUACCGUUCGAAUAGGGCGGUACCUUGACGGUACCUAACCAGAAAGCCACGGCUAACUACGUGCCAGCAGCCGCGGUAAUACGUAGGUGGCAAGCGUUGUCCGGAAUUAUUGGGCGUAAAGGGCUCGCAGGCGGUUUCUUAAGUCUGAUGUGAAAGCCCCCGGCUCAACCGGGGAGGGUCAUUGGAAACUGGGGAACUUGAGUGCAGAAGAGGAGAGUGGAAUUCCACGUGUAGCGGUGAAAUGCGUAGAGAUGUGGAGGAACACCAGUGGCGAAGGCGACUCUCUGGUCUGUAACUGACGCUGAGGAGCGAAAGCGUGGGGAGCGAACAGGAUUAGAUACCCUGGUAGUCCACGCCGUAAACGAUGAGUGCUAAGUGUUAGGGGGUUUCCGCCCCUUAGUGCUGCAGCUAACGCAUAAGCACUCCGCAUGGAGACUUCCAGCUU
rnacentral:rRNA from 1 species